UUCAAGAAAUUGACAAAGUGAUAGCCGAUGCUUUUUCGAGGAAGAAAUUUCUAAAGUUCUUGAAUUUCAGUUUGCUUUGAUGAUUGAGAAAGAAUCAAGUGGUCGGAAAUCUUUUGAUAUGAGUAAGUUAUUUUCUCUGAGCUAUUAGCUUCUUGUUUGAGCAGUUGCAUUCUUGUUGUUAUACAAUUGGCUUAUGAUAAUUACUUGUAAUGUAGAUUUUUUGGCUGUCACUGGAAAUGUUUUCAAGAAUGUGGGUUUUGAUUGAAGAGAUCUCAAUCAAUUAUAUUACCUUGAUGCAAAUGGUUUUUUGUAUUAUAAAAUUUUCUCAAUGUGGCUGUUGGCUAUAAAAGCAUUGCAGUAAUCGUUGUUUGUAGUUUUUGAAUUAUAUUUGUAAUCUUAAUCUGGGAAAGUCAACAAAUAUUGUGUUGUGUUUUUGCAAAUUUAA